UGGGGAAUAUUGGACAAUGGAGGAAACUCUGAUCCAGCAAUUCUGUGUGUGUGAAGAAGGUUUUAGGACUGUAAAACACUUUUAGUAGGGAAGAAAAAAAUGACGGUACCUACAGAAGAAGCAACGGCUAAAUACGUGCCAGCAGCCGCGGUAAUACGUAUGUUGCGAGCGUUAUCCGGAAUUAUUGGGCUUAAAGGGCAUCUAGGCGGUAAGACAAGUUGAAGGUGAGAACCUGUGGCUCAACCAUAGGCUUGCCUACAAAACUGUUGAACUAGAGUACUGGAAAGGUGGGUGGAACUACACGAGUAGAGGUGAAAUUCGUAGAUAUGUGUAGGAAUGCCGAUGAUGAAGAUAACUCACUGGACAGAAACUGACGCUGAAGUGCGAAAGCUAGGGGAGCAAACAGG
rnacentral:rRNA from 1 species